GACGGAGGAUGCAAGCGUUAUCCGGAAUUAUUGGGCGUAAAGCGUCCGCAGGUGGCAGUUCAACUCUGCUGUCAAAGACCGGGGCUUAACUUCGGAAAGGCAGUGGAAACUGAACAGCUAGAGUAUGGUAGGGGCAGAGGGAAUUCCUGGUGUAGCGGUGAAAUGCGUAGAGAUCAGGAAGAACAUCGGUGGCGAAGGCGCUCUGCUGGACCAUAACUGACACUCAGGGACGAAAGCUAGGGGAGCGAAUGGG
rnacentral:rRNA from 1 species